GAUGAAGAACGCAGCGAAAUGCGAUAAGUAAUGUGAAUUGCAGAAUUCAGUGAAUCAUCGAAUCUUUGAACGCACAUUGCGCCCGCUAGUAUUCUGGCGGGCAUGCCUGUCCGAGCGUCAUUUCAACCCUCAAGCCCCCGGGCUUGGUGUUGGGGAUCGGCGAGCCUCCGCGCCCGCCGUCCCCUAAAUCUAGUGGCGGUCUCGCUGUAGCUUCCUCCGUAGUAGCACACCUCGCACUGGGAAACAGCGCGGCCACGCCGUUAAACCCCCAACUUCUGAACGUUUGACCUCGGAUCAGGUAGGAAUACCCGCUGAACUUAAGCAUAUCAAUAAGCGGAGGA
rnacentral:misc_RNA from 1 species